rnacentral:rRNA from 1 species
UACGUAGGGUGCGAGCGUUGUCCGGAAUUAUUGGGCGUAAAGAGCUCGUAGGCGGUGUGUCACGUCGGCCGUGAAAACUGGAGGCUCAACCUUCAGAGGUCGACCGAAACCAUCUGGCUAGAGUCCGGGAGAGGAGAGUGGAAUUCCUGGUGUAGCGGUGAAAUGCGCAGAUAUCAGGAAGAACACCCGUGGCGAAGGCAGAUCUCUGGGCCGUAACUGACGCUGAGGAGCGAAAGCAUGGGGAGCGAACAGG